rnacentral:rRNA from 1 species
AAAUUGAAGAGUUUGAUCAUGGCUCAGAUUGAACGCUGGCGGCAGGCUUAACACAUGCAAGUCGAGCGGAAACGAGUUAUCUGAACCUUCGGGGAACGAUAAGGGCGUCGAGCGGCGGACGGGUGAGUAAUGCCUAGGAAAUUGCCCUGAUGUGGGGGAUAACCAUUGGAAACGAUGGCUAAUACCGCAUGAUGCCUACGGGCCAAAGAGGGGGACCUUCGGGCCUCUCGCGUCAGGAUAUGCCUAGGUGGGAUUAGCUAGUUGGUGAGGUAAGGGCUCACCAAGGCGACGAUCCCUAGCUGGUCUGAGAGGAUGAUCAGCCACACUGGAACUGAGACACGGUCCAGACUCCUACGGGAGGCAGCAGUGGGGAAUAUUGCACAAUGGGCGCAAGCCUGAUGCAGCCAUGCCGCGUGUGUGAAGAAGGCCUUCGGGUUGUAAAGCACUUUCAGUCGUGAGGAAGGUAGUGUAGUUAAUAGCUGCAUUAUUUGACGUUAGCGACAGAAGAAGCACCGGCUAACUCCGUGCCAGCAGCCGCGGUAAUACGGAGGGUGCGAGCGUUAAUCGGAAUUACUGGGCGUAAAGCGCAUGCAGGUGGUUUGUUAAGUCAGAUGUGAAAGCCCGGGGCUCAACCUCGGAAUAGCAUUUGAAACUGGCAGACUAGAGUACUGUAGAGGGGGUAGAAUUUCAGGUGUAGCGGUGAAAUGCGUAGAGAUCUGAAGGAAUACCGGUGGCGAAGGCGGCCCCCUGGACAGAUACUGACACUCAGAUGCGAAAGCGUGGGGAGCAAACAGGAUUAGAUACCCUGGUAGUCCACGCCGUAAACGAUGUCUACUUGGAGGUUGUGGCCUUGAGCCGUGGCUUUCGGAGCUAACGCGUUAAGUAGACCGCCUGGGGAGUACGGUCGCAAGAUUAAAACUCAAAUGAAUUGACGGGGGCCCGCACAAGCGGUGGAGCAUGUGGUUUAAUUCGAUGCAACGCGAAGAACCUUACCUACUCUUGACAUCCAGAGAACUUUCCAGAGAUGGAUUGGUGCCUUCGGGAACUCUGAGACAGGUGCUGCAUGGCUGUCGUCAGCUCGUGUUGUGAAAUGUUGGGUUAAGUCCCGCAACGAGCGCAACCCUUAUCCUUGUUUGCCAGCACUUCGGGUGGGAACUCCAGGGAGACUGCCGGUGAUAAACCGGAGGAAGGUGGGGACGACGUCAAGUCAUCAUGGCCCUUACGAGUAGGGCUACACACGUGCUACAAUGGCGCAUACAGAGGGCGGCCAACUUGCGAAAGUGAGCGAAUCCCAAAAAGUGCGUCGUAGUCCGGAUUGGAGUCUGCAACUCGACUCCAUGAAGUCGGAAUCGCUAGUAAUCGUGGAUCAGAAUGCCACGGUGAAUACGUUCCCGGGCCUUGUACACACCGCCCGUCACACCAUGGGAGUGGGCUGCAAAAGAAGUAGGUAGUUUAACCUUCGGGGGGACGCUUACCACUUUGUGGUUCAUGACUGGGGUGAAGUCGUAACAAGGUAGCGCUAGGGGAACCUGGCGCUGGAUCACCUCCUUAUACGAUGAU